AUGUACUUAGUUGUUGGUUACUGACACCAUUUAACUUAAUUGUAGCCCUGUCCAUCGGCGGCUGGCGUGGGGUCGGCUGCUGUUCUGGGAUGGUGUGCUGAGCUGGGCAAACUCAAGUGUCGCUGGUGAUGUUCUUCCACUUUGUGUCCUGUGUGGUUGACUACUUGCAUGCCGCUUCGAGAGAACCAGAGGAGGAGAUGGUGCCUUCGACUACACUGAUGCAGUGUCACUAGAGAAGGGGGGGCAUCACUGUUCUUUUCCCAACCUUUUGUUUUGUUUUGUCCUAUUGUGUGAGUGAUUCAUCCUGUGCAACCUUUUCACUUUGACGUCCGAGACGAAGGGGCUUGUGUAAGUUUCACUCUAACAUCCGAGACGAAGGGGCUCGUGUAAGUUUCUACUUAGUAACCGCCAAGACGGAGCUUGUGUAUAUGAUUAGGGUAUGAACACUGAAGUAUUACUGGGAGACGUAUCUUAAAUCUCAGACUCCUUUUGGAACCUAUACUUGCUGUAGGGGGAGACCAAAGACGUGUGUCUAACAGGCUUGUGUGUGUGUGUGUGGUGGC